UACAGAGGGCGCGAGCGUUGUCCGGAAUCACUGGGCGUAAAGAGCUCGUAGGCGGUGUGUCACGUCGGCCGUGAAAACCUGCAGCUUAACUGUGGGCGUGCGGUCGAUACGGGCAUCACUGGAGUUCGGCAGGGGAGACUGGAAUUCCUGGUGUAGCGGUGAAAUGCGCAGAUAUCAGGAGGAACACCGGUGGCGAAGGCGGGUCUCUGGGCCGAUACUGACGCUGAGGAGCGAAAGCGUGGGGAGCAAACAGG
rnacentral:rRNA from 1 species